rnacentral:rRNA from 1 species
GUGGGUUAUCUGCCUCUUGGACCGGGAUAGCUGCGGGAAACUGCAGGUAAUACCGGAUAACGUCUUUGGACCAAAGGUGUGAUUCCGCCGAGAGAUGAGCCCGCGUCCUAUUAGCUAGUUGGUGAGGUAAUGGCUCACCAAGGCUUAGAUGGGUAGGGGGUGUGAGAGCACGACCCCCCUCACUGGGACUGAGACACUGCCCAGACACCUACGGGUGGCUGCAGUCGAGGAUCUUCGGCAAUGGGCGAAAGCCUGACCGAGCGACGCCGCGUGUGGGAUGAAGGCCUUCGGGUUGUAAACCACUGUCGUAGAGGAGGAAAUUCUGGGGGGUUCUCCCCUCGGUUUGACCUAUUCUAGGAGGAAGUCAGGGCUAAGUUCGUGCCAGCAGCCGCGGUAAGACGAACCUGACAAACGUUAUUCGGAAUUACUGGGCUUAAAGGGUGCGUAGGCGGCGCGACAAGUUGGGUGUGAAAUCCCUCGGCUCAACCGAGGAACUGCGCUCAAUACUGUCGUGCUC